GACGAACGCUGGCGGCGUGCUUAACACAUGCAAGUCGAACGGAAAGGCCCUGCUUUUGUGGGGUGCUCGAGUGGCGAACGGGUGAGUAACACGUGAGUAGCCUGCCCUUGACUUUGGGAUAACUUCAGGAAACUGGGGCUAAUACCGGAUAGGAGCUCCUGCUGCAUGGUGGGGGUUGGAAAGUUUCGGCGGUUGGGGAUGGACUCGCGGCUUAUCAGCUUGUUGGUGGGGUAGUGGCUUACCAAGGCUUUGACGGGUAGCCGGCCUGAGAGGGUGACCGGCCACAUUGGGACUGAGAUACGGCCCAGACUCCUACGGGAGGCAGCAGUGGGGAAUAUUGCACAAUGGGCGGAAGCCUGAUGCAGCAACGCCGCGUGCGGGAUGACGGCCUUCGGGUUGUAAACCGCUUUCGCCUGUGACGAAGCGUGAGUGACGGUAAUGGGUAAAGAAGCGCCGGCUAACUACGUG
rnacentral:rRNA from 1 species